rnacentral:rRNA from 1 species
AUGUUAGCGGCGGACGGGUGAGUAACACGUGGAUAACCUACCUAUAAGACUGGGAUAACUUCGGGAAACCGGAGCUAAUACCGGAUAAUAUUUUGAACCGCAUGGUUCAAAAGUGAAAGACGGUCUUGCUGUCACUUAUAGAUGGAUCCGCGCUGCAUUAGCUAGUUGGUAAGGUAACGGCUUACCAAGGCAACGAUGCAUAGCCGACCUGAGAGGGUGAUCGGCCACACUGGAACUGAGACACGGUCCAGACUCCUACGGGAGGCAGCAGUAGGGAAUCUUCCGCAAUGGGCGAAAGCCUGACGGAGCAACGCCGCGUGAGUGAUGAAGGUCUUCGGAUCGUAAAACUCUGUUAUUAGGGAAGAACAUAUGUGUAAGUAACUGUGCACAUCUUGACGGUACCUAAUCAGAAAGCCACGGCUAACUACGUGCCAGCAGCCGCGGUAAUACGUAGGUGGCAAGCGUUAUCCGGAAUUAUUGGGCGUAAAGCGCGCGUAGGCGGUUUUUUAAGUCUGAUGUGAAAGCCCACGGCUCAACCGUGGAGGGUCAUUGGAAACUGGAAAACUUGAGUGCAGAAGAGGGAAGUGGAUUCCAUGUGUAGCGGUGAAAU